AGUGAACGCUGGCGGCGUGCCUAAUACAUGCAAGUCGAACGAAGUGGCGCACGGGUGAGUAAUAUAUAGUUAAUCUGCCCUACACAGAGGAACAACAGUUGGAAACGGCUGCUAAUACCUCAUAUUGUAGGAUGAGACUAUAUCGUAUCAGCUAGUUGGUAAGGUAAUGGCUUACCAAGGCUAUGACGCGGAACUGGUCUGAGAGGAUGAUCAGUCACAUUUGAAAUGAGACACGGUGCAAACUCCUUAGGGAGGCAGCAGUAAGGAAUAGUGCGCAUUGGGAGAAGACCUGACGGCGCAACGCCGCGUGGAGGAGGACACUUUUCGGAGCGUAAACUCAUUGUAGCAGGAAAGCGGUACCUGAUGAAUAAGCACCGGCUAACUCCGUGCCAGCAGCCGCGGUAAUUC
rnacentral:rRNA from 1 species